CUAGCUCCUCUCUCCCGUGGUUGAGCAGAUGUUGUUGCAUUGUACUGUUCAGUUGGCCUGCAAACUUGGUGAGACAGCAAAUAAUGGAAAAUUGAGAACAGUACAUGAAGUCAAUUCUGAGAAUGAUUUUUUUUUUACCUUUAUUUAUAUAGCGCUUUUAACAAUACAGAUUGUGUCAAAGCAACUCUUAAUUAUUAAUUAUUGAUUAAUAUCCAAUUGUGUCUGUUUGGGUUUGCUUACAUGUGUAGUAUCUGGGGAGCUGCCUCUAGUGUCCUCAGCCGAGGGUAACAAGAGACUCGCUCUUCUGGAAAAGUUUGUAGUUCUGUGGGCUCAGACUCCCUCUCCACCUCUGCACCUUCUCCUCAGUGAACCCACUUUGACUGCUAUUUUUAGUGCCACAGAUAGUGAGAGGACUGACUACCUGUUCCUGAUAAGACAGCUAAUAGAGAGGGGUCUUUUAGGAGAGGAGGAUUUGGGCACCAACUGGCCAAAGUUGUCAGCGUUAUCUUGGCCAGAGGUAAUCGCUUCUUACAUGUUAUGUGUUUUAGAGAUAGCAAAACAUUACAUUCUGAUUCUGGAGUUCUCACAGAUCACUGUCUGAUAGCUUUUCUCAUUUGCUCUUGUAGGAGUCUUCACUGCCUUCACUGCCAAACCACAGGGACAUACUGCAGGUCUCUCAAUGACCACUAGGGGGACGCAUGAGUCUACAUUACCAACUGUACACAUGAAUCCCAGCCAAACACUAUUGUAUUAACAGCAGUGAUGCAUAUUUGAAGAAAAGAAAUAAUGUUUAAACCUACAAAAUAUAGGAUUUAAAAAAUAUUUUAAAGUCUGAUUUAUUGUUAGUUGCAAGGAGAAUAUUUGCUGCUGAAGAAUGUUGAGUUGAUAAGAUUGUUAUUGACAGUUUAUAAACCUUUAAAACACAUUUUGUGGGGACAUUUUAGCAGGGCUUUGCCAGUUUUCACUUAUACUGCCUCACAAUAGAACAGGAUAAAGACCAUUCACUGUGCUGUUUAUUUGUUUUAAGUGUGUGUAAAUGUUUUUUUGCUUGUUUGUUGGUGAGUAUGUCUGUCUGUAUGUUUCUUAGUAUAUAUUUGCGGA
rnacentral:lncRNA from 1 species